rnacentral:rRNA from 1 species
UACGGAGGAUCCGAGCGUUAUCCGGAUUUAUUGGGUUUAAAGGGUGCGUAGGCGGCCUUUUAAGUCAGCGGUGAAAGUCUGUGGCUCAACCAUAGAAUUGCCGUUGAAACUGGGGGGCUUGAGUAUGUUUGAGGCAGGCGGAAUGCGUGGUGUAGCGGUGAAAUGCAUAGAUAUCACGCAGAACUCCGAUUGCGAAGGCAGCAUACCGGCGCCCAACUGACGCUGAGGCGCGAAAGCUAGGGGAGCAAACAGG